UACAGAGGGUGCAAGCGUUGCUCGGAAUCAUUGGGCGUAAAGGGUAGGUAGGUGGUCUCGUUUGUCUGGGGUGAAAGCCCAGGGCUUAACCCUGGAAGUGCCCCGGAAACGGCGAGACUGGAGUAUUGGAGAGGGUCGUGGAAUUCCCGGUGUAGCGGUGAAAUGCGUAGAGAUCGGGAGGAACACCAGAGGCGAAGGCGGCGACCUGGACAAUUACUGACACUCAACUACGAAAGCGUGGGGAGCAAACAGG
rnacentral:rRNA from 1 species